AAUAGAAAUAUAAAUCUGAAAUAAAUAUUUUUCUGUGUCCAGGAACAAAGUUUUAACAUCAUUUGAGGCGAGAAAUUAGUCAUUUAGAAUUCAAACAUGUGGUUUGUGUAUGAAGAUAUGACGUAUUUAUAGUUUGGCAGCGACGUUUGUCGGAGGUGAUCCGCUCCGCCUCUGUGGACGCUCAGCGCUCACUGUGCCCGGCACAGAGCAGCGUUACCUCGGCCUGUCCUGAUGAAAUGAUCCGCUGGCUCAGACGUCGCUGUCAUUAAUGCUCGGUGUGAUCCAUAGAUUUGUUGUGGACGUGUUAUUUUGUUUUUAAUGGAAACGUUUUGACCUGACAGUUUGAAGUGUUCUCUCCUACGCCGUGGUGUGCUGGGGCGGGAGCACAACUAAGGCAGACUUCCACAGACUGGAAAAACUCAUCAGGCGGGCCGGCUCGGUGGUAGGAAUGAGGCUGGACCCUCUGGUGACAGUGGCAGAGAGAAAAACUGUGGACAAACUGCUGAGCAUCCUGGACAAUGCCAGCCACCCUCUGCACACUGUCAUCAGCAGCCAGAGGAGCCACAGAAGCCUCAGCAACAGGCUGCUCCUCCCAAAAUACAGGACCAACAGGCUGGGGGACUCGUUUGUCCCCCGGGCCAUCAAACUGUACAACUCCUCACUGGGGGGGAGGAGGGCAAACAAGCAAACAAAAAAUAAAAAAACCGGUACGAACUAAACAAACAACAACCACAACAAUAACAUAAUGUGCAAUAAAACCAUAGACAUGUGCAAUAAAACCCUGGGCAUUACGGGGUAACUCUAGGUGUGUGUGUACCUAUACCUAUGUGUGUGUGUAUAUAUAUAUAUAUAUAUGUAUAUAUGUGUGUAUAUGUAUGUAUGUAUGUGUAUGUAUGCAUAUAUAUGUAUAUGUGUAUGUAUAUGUAUGUAUGAGUGCGUAUGUAUGCAUGUAUCUGUGUAUGUAUGUAUGUAUAUAUAUAUAUAUACAUUGGUUGUGUGUAUGUAGGUAUACAUACAUAUAUAUAGCAUGGGUCACUUUCAUUUUUAUUUUUAUAUUUUUAUUUUUAUUCUUAUUCUUAUCUUAUUUUAUUCUAUUCUCUAUUUUUAACAGUGCUGUGUAUGGAUGCUGGAGCUGUUAAUUUCCCCGAGGGAACCUCCCAAAGGGAUUAAUAAAGUCGUCUGUCUGUC